rnacentral:rRNA from 1 species
GUGCAACCUGCCUUUAUCUGGGGGAUAGCCUUUCGAAAGGAAGAUUAAUACCCCAUAAUAUUUUGAAUGGCAUCAUUUGAAAUUGAAAACUCCGGUGGAUAGAGAUGGGCACGCGCAAGAUUAGAUAGUUGGUGAGGUAACGGCUCACCAAGUCUGCGAUCUUUAGGGGGCCUGAGAGGGUGAUCCCCCACACUGGUACUGAGACACGGACCAGACUCCUACGGGAGGCAGCAGUGAGGAAUAUUGGACAAUGGGUGAGAGCCUGAUCCAGCCAUCCCGCGUGAAGGACGACGGCCCUAUGGGUUGUAAACUUCUUUUGUAUAGGGAUAAACCUUUCCACGUGUGGGAAGCUGAAGGUACUAUACGAAUAAGCACCGGCUAACUCCGUGCCAGCAGCCGCGGUAAUACGGAGGGUGCAAGCGUUAUCCGGAUUUAUUGGGUUUAAAGGGUCCGUAGGCGGAUCUGUAAGUCAGUGGUGAAAUCUCACAGCUUAACUGUGAAACUGCCAUUGAUACUGCAGGUCUUGAGUGUUAUUGAAGUAGCUGGAAUAAGUAGUGUAGCGGUGAAAUGCAUAGAUAUUACUUAGAACACCAAUUGCGAAGGCAGGUUACUAAGCAACAACUGACGCUGAUGGACGAAAGCGUGGGGAGCGAACAGGAUUAGAUACCCUGGUAGUCCACGCCGUAAACGAUGCUAACUCGUUUUUGGGCUUUUGGGCUCAGAGACUAAGCGAAAGUGAUAAGUUAGCCACCUGGGGAGUACGUUCGCAAGAAUGAAACUCAAAGGAAUUGACGGGGGCCCGCACAAGCGGUGGAUUAUGUGGUUUAAUUCGAUGAUACGCGAGGAACCUUACCAAGGCUUAAAUGGGAAAUGACAGGUUUAGAAAUAGACUUUUCUUCGGACAUUUUUCAAGGUGCUGCAUGGUUGUCGUCAGCUCGUGCCGUGAGGUGUUAGGUUAAGUCCUGCAACGAGCGCAACCCCUGUCACUAGUUGCCAUCAUUAAGUUGGGGACUCUAGUGAGACUGCCUACGCAAGUAGAGAGGAAGGUGGGGAUGACGUCAAAUCAUCACGGCCCUUACGCCUUGGGCCACACACGUAAUACAAUGGCCAGUACAGAGGGCAGCUACACAGCGAUGUGAUGCAAAUCUCGAAAGCUGGUCUCAGUUCGGAUUGGAGUCUGCAACUCGACUCUAUGAAGCUGGAAUCGCUAGUAAUCGCGCAUCAGCCAUGGCGCGGUGAAUACGUUCCCGGGCCUUGUACACA